GUCCCCAUCGUCUAGAGGUCUAGGACGUCGCCCUUUCAAGGCGAAGAUCGCGGGUUCGAACCCCGCUGGGGGCACCA
rnacentral:tRNA from 1 species